UCAAAGCAUUAUUGCCUUUCGAAAUUCACCAGUCUUCUUCUCUUCAACAACAAUAUUACCUGCCUCUAUGUCUCUGCGUUACCUCUUCGGCGGAGUAACCCACACCGCUGUCAACCAUACUCACCUCAUGCUCAAGCCCUAUAUUGGCUUCUGUGCACUAUUAAAUCACAAUGCUUUGAUCCCCAUUUCUUCUUCUUCUUCUUCUUCAGCGUUUGUAUUUCUCCAUGGCUCUCCUUCUUUUUCUUCUGCAAACCCAAUUUCAGGUUCACAAAGUUGUACAACAUCACCCCCAUGUGGUGGCACUUGCAUUUACAUGGGUGCCCACGAGGAUGAUUGGAUCAUCAGACUCGCCAAGUUUGCAGUAGAGCAGCACAAUUUCAAAGAGGGUGUGUACCUUUUGUGGAGAAGAUUGUAUCCAAUGCAUCUUUAUGGGAUGUUGGAAACGUUUCAGUGAAAAGUUACUCUUUGAGUAAGAAUCUUCAAUAUGUGAGGGUGUUGGGGGCAAGCCACACUAUGGUUUCUAGCAUAUUGUACCAUAUUACACUGGAGACAGUUGAUGCUACUAAGCCUAAGAUUUACCAUGCAGUUGUUUGGUUACAAAUAUUAAAGAACUUCAUGGAGUUGCUUGCAUGGAAGCCCGUUAAUGACCGCUUGUCGGUUCUUGGUGUUAAGUCCGGGAUCCAUGGAACAACCAACAACCAUGACCCUCUUCUCGUGUCUUCAUAUAGGUAAACUUGUUUAAAAGUCGUCACUUGCAAGCCAAUUUGUUUUCCUUUAUUAAAACUAUCCAGUCAGUUUAUCAAUCAUACUACCUGCACAAUCACUUUAGCCACUCAAACCAUAUAAUACAUAGGACUACAACAACCUUAAAGUAAAUCCCUGAGUCAUGCCAGGUUCUAUUUGGAAACUUGAUAUUCUAAAACAGCUUAAUAGUGGUUGAUGUUGCCUCUAGUCUAGAAAAUCCUAUCCAUUGUUUGUUAAGUUUUAAAUCGACGUUUAUGCUUUUGUCAUUCUUGAGCUGUACUUUUCUCUGGCUUUUGUAGUUCUCAGUGUAGAUAGCUUUAGUAGUGUCUUCGUAAAGGAAUAGUGUUAUUUAUCCCGCUUGUAUGUAUUUUCACAGCAUUUCUGUGGAUGUGAAACAUAGAACAGUUAUUAUAGUGGCAGCAAUGAAUAUUUGAAUAAUUAUUCUGUAGGUUAUUUUAGUGGCAGCAUUAAAUGUUACUAGUAUCACCCUUGAGGUAUAAACGUAUUACAUGCAUCCAUUUGUAAAUACUUGUAUAAAGGAUUUUAUAGAUGACAUGUCUAUGAGUAAUGCUAGAGGGGUCAGAAUUUUUAUCCACAUCAAUUGAUCAAAUGCUCGGGCAGUUGAUGUGUUAAUUAACAAUUGGACUUAGUAGCGACGUACUAAGUACAUAUGAACUGCCACAUCACGUGGUUAGAUAAUUGGGUCUCUGUAGUAUUUUUCUUUGUUUAUUGUCUAAUUACUUGUUUGAGCCAGUCAUUGGAAGUGGCGAACUUCAUACUUGAAAGUAUCAACACAUCUGUUAAUGGAUAUUGGCUGUUCGCGGAUGCCUUCUCUGACAGAUGUGUGACUGAAUAAGAAAAAUGGAACAGCUGAAAUUUUUUUACAUUGUUGUAUAGUUUGUAGUUAAUUACGGUAGUGAAAGAGUUUCAUUCUCUGAAUGCCUCAAAAGUACAUUUGAUGAGUAGCAUUGUCUAUGUACCUCCAGAGGACAGAUUUUCGUGCAUACCCUGAGAAGCAAAGAGACAUUAACCUGACAGUACAAGUUGAAAAGCUUAGUGAUGCAGAGUAAUUGCCGUCUUUGACUUAUAAUCUGUAUUACAAGUUGAGAGUGUUGGUCAUGCAAUAGGCAAUUGAAUUCUUUGGUAUUUAUGCCCCAAUUUCGAAGUUUUUCACUUGCUGGCUUAUAUAUGUUUUUCUUUAUGUAAUUUGGUUUCGGUUUCACAGGGACUGUUUUGGAUGUCUUAUUUGUUUUACACAGGUGAUUUGAAAUUGCAUGAAGCUGUUAUGUUUUAUAUGAAUAAUGUACAGCGAGAUCGUUCCCUAAACUGAAUGUACAAAGCCUACCUAUCUAACUUCCAAAUUUGGAUACGCCCGGCACAUUGCAUCAGUCAUUCACUUACAGUUAUGUGAGGCCUACUACUUUGUACGGUGAGCCGCACAUGCUUGGAUAAGUGUCCAAUGCCACAAAUAGUACUUGUUUUUGGUCGGAACAAAUAUUCCCCCUAACCUUCGACGAAAAAAAAUAUUCCUUCAAACCUUUGAAAUUCACCUUUUCAACCUUGAACAAUGUAUAGUGAAUAGUGAAUUUUGGAUCUGUUAAUGAUAUAAUCUCCAGUAAUGUUUAUUUUCCCUUUUCUA